rnacentral:misc_RNA from 1 species
ACAAACGUUGUUAUUAUCAACCAUUUCGACGGUUGAAACAAGUUCAGACGAGGAUCAAAACUGUGAAAAAACUUUAAAAAUGUCUCAACAAGGCGCUGCUUUACAGAGUUAUAAUAAUGAACUUGUAAAAUGUAUUAAUGAUCUGUGUGGAAAGAGAGAUGAACUCCAUAAACAGAUUCUCCAAGAAGAAGAAGAAAAACAAAAACUUCAAAAUGACAUUAGGAUACUCACAGAGAGGUUGGCCAAAGUAAAUGAAAGCUUAAGCAAAAAGAUGGCUUCAAGGAAUGAAUUUGAUAAAACAAUUGCAGAAACAGAGUCAGCAUAUAUGAAGGUAAAAUGUGGGGGGUUUUUUGCUAGUGGUGCAGUAUGUGCUAAAUAUAUGCAAGCUGAUUAGUUGUAUUCAUCCAUGCAGUAAUAUACAACUUUUUGUAUUUGAAACAUUAAAUUUGAAUCGUCGUUAUUACAAAAACAUUUUGGGACAUCUUAAAAUCUCCAAACAACCAGAGUUAACAAAACCCUUAAGCAACGUAAUAUUUUCAGCCGUCUUUCAUUUUUUUUUCAGAUAUUGGAAAGUUCCCAGACCUUACUGAAUGUUUUGAAGAGGGAAUCACAGACCCUGAGAGAAAAAACAGUUCCUGGUCAAAGAGCCGUCCAAUCGUAGUGUUCUUUGCUGACAGUGCUGAAAAUGGGUAUACAUUUGUGUAUGAUUUUAAUGACUGUAAGUUGAUAUUUUAUUCACAAAAAAAAAGUCUGGAGGAAAUUCCUGAGAUCCUCACCUUAUUUUCCUUUGUAAUUUUGGGGAAAAAAACAAAAUGAUUCCAGGAAAAAAAAUUAAUACUGUGUGGAUUGAAUUUAUUUGUGGAUUUGUCACGUUUGGUAGUAUCAUUGUAAAAUACAUGUGUUUAGUUAUGUAGUAUACAAUGUUGACCAAUGAUUUGUCUCAAUUUCCACACUGUGUAUAUAAUUUGCUUGGAACAUGUAAAUAAAUAUACACCCAUUAUUUUUACUUCAGUGAUAGAUUCAUUGCAUUUUCUUUUUUCCACAAUGUUUUUUUUAGAUGUAUUAUUGUAUGUGUACGUGCACAUCAAAAACAAACACAAUUAUCUUUUGAAGAAAUGGUUUUUCCAAUGCAUUUGAACUUUUGUUGUUGAAUCACUUGUAAUUGAGAGUAUUUGAGAGUAAAAAUAAACAUUUUG